CCCAAAAUUGUAAACAACUUUCCAAUUCACUUCUAUUAUCAUUUUUCUUUUCAUUGUCUUGUUAUCCUUUGUUAAAAAGCAGGGACUUAAGCUCAGGAGUGUGCACGUGUCUGCAGUACUAUAUGGCAGCAGUUUUGCUACAAUGUUAUACAUUAGCAAGAGCACUAGAUGUCGGCAUUAUCUCCUGUCAGGUAGUGCUUUAGGCACGUGCACGCUACCUAUCUAGAUAUCGCUUUGACAAAGAAUAGCAUGAGAAUGAAGCAAAUUUGAUAAUAGAAGUAAAUUAGAACGUUUUUUUUUUAAUUCUAUUUUCUAUCUGAUUAAUGAAAGAAAAAAAUUGGGUUUCAUGUAUAUUUUUUAUUAAAAAGUUGUAUAAAUGCAUGUAAUACUUUAUUUUAAUGUGUUUUUCAUGUGUUUUGUGCAACAUUAUUUUUAUACCUUAAAGUUUACUUCAGGUCUCAAGUUGCGCUAAAUAUUCUAGCACAGUUUCGGAUUUUGCUCGAACACAAACUAUGACUUUCAACUUGUAAUAUGAGUGUGAUAUCCAUUUAAAGUAUAGUUUGCAGUUGAUCGAAGUCAGCUGCGCUAGCCAGAGCUUUACCAUGGACUUGUAAUAUCAAGUUGUGCGCUAAUCUUCGCAUGUUACAGUGAUAUUGUGGCCCGCUCUAUUAUUAGCGUGUCACGUGUAAUCUGGUUCUUUUUCAGUAGGACAUAAUGGUACUCAAAGUAUAUUAUCUGGAGUUUUAAAUUAGCGACCAGGUCAAAGCUGAAAUUAUAUUUUGAACUGGAUGUAUAUGCUUAUUUUGAUAAAUUCAGUAUAAUACUAUGUACAUAGAAUGUUAAUUUAUUGCAUUUAUUGACCCCUGACUUUAAUGUGUAGUUUCAGAUGUUUUAAUUAUUUUUUAUUCUGAUGUACAUGUAAUUAAUCAUUGAUCAUUUUCAAGGGUGCAUUUUACUUAAACAUGACCAUUAGCUUUGAUAUAAAUACUUGGGAUUUUUUUUUCGGUGAGGGGGGGGGUUAUCCAAAUCAGUUGAUUCUGUUCUAGGGAAGUAUACAAUGAUCAAGAAUAUAGCAUUAUUAUUAUUAUUAUCUAGUUCAGCCAGGAGGUACCAAAAGAACAAUUGACAAAGUCUAUUUAAAACAGUUUAUCACUAUGUUAUUUUACCUUUGAAUAAGCUCAUUAUCAUCACAAAAUUAGUAUCAUUACUGUGAUAAGUUGUAGACUCUCUUUUUUGUUAUAAAUUGGAAAAAAAACUUUUUGAACUGUAAAUGUGGCUGAGAAUGUGGUGCUUGUUUAUUGGUGAUGUUUACCUGCAAAGUUUUACCUGUGUUCCUGAAAACCCAUCUCUUAAUGACAUUCGGCUAGAUUACGAGUUGCGCAGUAAGCUUAAAAAGCAGCGUUAACAGGUCCUAACGCUGCUUUUUUACGCCCGCUGGUAUUACGAGUCUUGCAGGUAUAGGUGUACCGCACACUUUUUUGGCCUUACCACAAACCAGCUUACGUAAAUUUCGUAAAGCCUUUUUUCUAUGGGACUUCCAUAGCGCCGGUAUUACGAGUUUAUCCUGGGAGGCCAAAAAGUAAGCGGUACACCCUCUACCGCCAAGAUUCAUUUUAAAGUCAGUAGUUAUAUACAACGCUGUAACAUAAAACUCAUAACUAAAGUGCUACAAAGCCAAUAGGAUUGAGCUCGCAUUCUAUUGGCUGUUCCAAUCAACCAAUGGAAUGCAAGCUCAAUCCUAUUGGCUGAUCCAAUCAGCCAGUAGGAUUUUUUCAACCUUAAUUCCGAUUGGCUGAUAGAAUUCUUAUCCAGUUCAGCCAGGAGGUACCAAAAGAGCAAUUGACAAAGUCUAUUUAAAACAGUUGAUCACUAUCUUAUUUUACCUGUGAAUAAGCUCCUUAUCGUCACAAAAUUAUCCAGUUCAGCUAGGAGGUACCAAAAGAGCAAUUGACAAAGUCUAUUUAAAACAGUUGAUCACUAUGUUAUUUUACCUGUGAAUAAGCUCAUUAUCAUCACAAAAUUAGUAUCAUUACUGUGAUAAGUUGUAGACUCUCUUUUUUGUUAUAAACUGGAAAAAAAACUUUUUGAACUGUAAAUGUGGCUGAGAAUGUGGUGCUUGUUUAUUGGUGAUGUUUAUCUGCAAAGUUUUACCUGUGUUCCUGAAAACCCAUCUCUUAAUGACAUUCUGCUAGAUUACGAGUUGCGCGGUAAUCUUAAAGGGACAGUCUAGUAUAAAUUAAACUUUCAUUAUUCAGCUAGGACUUGUAAUUUUAAUCAACUUUCCAAUUUACUUUUAUCAUCAAAUUUGCUUUUUUCUCUUGGUAUUCUUAGUUUAAACUAAAUAUAGGUAGGCUCAUAUGCUAAUUUCUAAGCCUUUGAGGGCUGCCUCUUAUCAUAUGCUUUUUAAAUCUCUUUUCAACACAAAGAGACAGAAAGUACACGUGGGCCAUAUAGAUAACACUGUGUUCAGGCACAGGGGGUUAUUUAAGAUCUAGCACGAAACAAUGCUAAAUUUAAGACACUAGAUAAUAAACAGUCACAGUCAUGUGAUCAGGGGGCUGGAAGAAGGUUCUUAGAUACAAGGUAAUCACAGAGGUAAAAAGUAUAUUAAUAUAACUGUGUUGGUUAUGCAAAACUGGGGAAUGGGUAAUAAACAGAUUAUCUAUCUUUUAAAACAAUAACAAUUCUAUGGUAGACUGUCCCUUUAAAAAGCAGCGUUAAUAGGUCCUAACGCUGCUUUUUUACGCCCGCUGGUAUUACGAGUCUUGCAGGUAUAGGUUACACUUUUUUGGCCUUACCGCAAACCAUCUUACGUAAAUUUCGUAAAGCCUUUUUUUCUAUGGGACUUCCAUAGCGCCGGUAUUAAGAGUUUGUCCUGGGAGGCCAAAAAGUGAGCGGUACACCCUCUACCGCCAAGAUUCCUAACGCAUUUUAAAGUCAGUAGUUAUGAGUUUUAUGUUACAACGCUGUAACAUAAAACUUAUAACUAAAGUGCUACAAAGCCAAUAGGAUUGAGCUCAUAUUCUAUUGGCUGUUCCAAUCAACCAAUGGAAUGCAAGCUCAAUCCUAUUGGCUGAUCCAAUCAGCCGGUAGGAUUUUUUCAACCUUAAUUCCAAUUGGCUGAUAGAAUUCUAUCAGCCAAUCGGAAUCUAAGGGACGCCAUCUUGGAUGAUGUCAUUUAAAGGAACCUUCAUUCAUCGUUAGUCCGUCGGAAGAAGAGGAUGCUCCGCACCGGAUGUUUUGAAGAUGGACCCGCUCCACGUCAGAAGGAUGAAGAUAGAAGAUACCUUCUGGAUGAAGACUUCUGCCUAUCUGGAGGACCACUUCUGCCCGUCUGGAGGACCACUUCUGCUGGCUUCGUUGAGGACAUCUUGCCGCUUGGAUGAAGACUUCUCCCGGUAAGUGAAUCUUCGGGGGUUAGUGUUAGGUUUUUGUAAGGGUGUAUUGGGUGGGUUUUAUUUUUAGGUUAGGGCUUUGGGCAGCAAUAGAGCUAAAUGCCCUUUUAAGGGUAAAAUCCAUCCAAAUGCCCUUUUCAGGGCAAUGGGGAGCUUAGGUUUUUUUAGUUAGGCUUCUAUUUGGGGGGUAGGUUGUGUGGGUGGUGAGUUUUACUGUUGGGGGGUUGUUUGUAUUUUUUUUACAGGUAAAAGAGCUGAUUUCUUUGGGGCAAUGCCCCGCAAAAGGCCCUUUUAAGGGCUUUUGAUAGUUUAGUUUAGGCUAGGGUUUUUUUUUAUUUUGGGGGGCUUUUUUAUUUUGAUAGAGCUCUUAGAUUAGGUGUAAUUAGUUUAAAGAUCUUGUAAUUUGUUUUUUAUUUUCUGUAAUUUAGUGGGGGUUUUUGUAAUUUAGCUAAUUUUAUUUAAUUUAUUUAAUUGUAUUUAAUUUAGGUAAUUUAUUUAAUUGUAGGGUUAGGUUAGGUGUUAGUGUAACUUAGGUUAGGUUUUAUUUUACAGGUAAAUUUGUAUUUAUUUUAGCUAGGUAGUUAUUAAAUAGUUAAUAACUAUUUAAUAACUAUUCUACCUAGUUAAAAUAAAUACAAACUUGCCUGUAAAAUAAAAAUAAACCCUAAGCUAGCUACAAUGUAACUAUUAGUUAUAUUGUAGCUAGCUUAGGGUUUAUUUUAUAGGCAAGUAUUUAGUUUUAAAUAGGAAUAAUUUAGGUGAUAAUAGUAGGUUUUAUUUAUAUUUAUUUUAAUUAUAUUUAAGUUAGGGGGUGUUAGGGUUAGACUUAGAUUUAGUGGUUAAUAAAUUUAAUAUAGUGGUGGCGACGUUGAGGGCAGCAGAUUAGGGGUUAAUAAAUGUAGGUAGGUGGUGGUGAUGUUGGGGACAGCAGUUAGGGGUUAAUAAUACUUAACUAAUGUUUGCGAGGUGGGAGUGUCGCGGAUUAGGGGUUAAUAUGUUUAUUAUAGUGGCGGCGAUGUCGGAAGAUUAGGGGUUAAUAAGUAUAAUGUAGGUGUCGGCGAUGUCAGGGGUGGCAGAUUAGGGGUUAAUAAGUGUAAGAUUAGGGGUGUUUAGACUCGAGGUUCAUGUUAGGGUUUUAGGUGUAAACAUAAAUUGAGUUUCCCCAUAGGAAUCAAUGGGGCUGCGUUACUGAGUUUUAUGCUGCUUUAUUGCAGGUGUUAGACUUUUUCUCAGCCGGCUCUCCCCAUUGAUGUCUAUGGGGAAAUCGUGCACGAGCACGUACGACCAGCUCACCGCUGACUUAAGCAGCGCUGGUAUUGGAGUGCGGUAAGGAGCACAAUUUUGCUCUACGCUCACUUCUUGCCUUUUAACGCCGUGUUUGUAAAAACCUGCAAUACCAGCGCUGUAGGUAAGUGAGCGGUGACAAUAACGUGCACGUUAGCAACGCACCCCUCUUACCGCAAAACUCAUAAUCUGGACGAUUGUUUGCAACGGAGCCUCAAAGAAUGUGAAAUCGGCUUACUGCAGUUACAUCCCUUUCUGUACUGUUCCAUUGUAAUUACAUUGUACUUGAUAAGUAUUCACAUGGCUAUCUAAAAUAAAAAAAGAUGGUCAGUGUUGUUGCUGGCUGUUUACGUUUUUGUGUUUUUUUGUUUUUUUUUACACAGUUUAAAAGUUACAAAAAAUAUAUUUUAAAAGUCCUGAGGAAAACAUAAAGCAUUGCAGCCACUGCAGAAAUUGAAAGCCCCUGCUCUUUAUAGUGCAUGGCAACCUGAAGCAUAUAGUAACACAUUUUAUAAAAAAGCUGCCACUGAUCUGGGAAUGGGCGCCAUUUCUGUCACAGGGAUUUAAUAUACAUGAGAUUUGGCAGUACCUAGCAUUAGGAUUUGGAGCUACACCAACUAACACCUGUAAGUGGUUAAAACAUAAGAAUGGCUCUGAAAAGAAAUGCAGGCACAGGAGGAAUACAAGAGAAUGGUGAUUGGUGGCCGUUCUUUUGUAGCCAGCAUUCUACUGUACCUUUAUGAUUUAUAGUAUAAGAUACUGAUUGCCAUAAUGAUAAGAAAAGGGUUACUUGUUUGUAGUAGGGGGUUCCUUUUAGGUAGCCAUGUGAAAACUUUCAAAUAGCGAGAUGACAAAAAUGUAUUUAAAACAAAGAAGGACAGACAAAGAGCAGCAAGAGUGGAAUAGUUGGACUGAGCCACCAAUUUAUGAUAAUCCUAAAAAAUUCAGUAACUUUGGGAGCCUUACAGUUUUCCCAAUUGCAUUUUAUUUUAUAAGGUAAUUUCUCUUCUCCACACUAUUGCCUGUGAUUGACUUAUUAUUUCACUGCAGUUUUAGGAUGUCUGGGCAACGUGUGUAUUGAGAGUCCACAAGUCAGUACUCCUGGGUAUUCCCCUCCUGGCCACUAGAAGGAGGCAAAGAUUCCCAAGAACACUUAAACCCUCCUACUUCACUAGUAAACAAGUCUUAUCUUUGCCUCCACAUGAGGAAGGUGAAGAAUGGAGGUUCUCCAGUUUCUUCAUUGAGAGGGGUCCUUAGACUGAUUAGAGGACAUUUUCCCUGAUAGCUGCUACUUGAAACAGAGGGGAGUUUGGCGUAUUGGGUAAUGACAUAAUUACCCCCAGUAAGGAGUUAGUUACAAACCUAACACUUUUGUUGUGGGGACCUGUCCCUUAGCCUCCUCCUUUUGACUUACUACACAUUUAGAUCAUCUGCUGUCAAGCGUACAGCACUGGAUAGGCUAUCUAUUGGAAAUGGGAACAGUUUUUUUCUGAAGCAGUGGAGUGGGUGCUUGUAAGAUGAGCUUUCAAAAUGGAAACAAUUCGGACUAUUAUUUACCUCUUGCUCACAUGGCAAUUGUUUCUGUAUUUUUAAACUCCAGUCUUAAAGGUUCACUAAUAUGUAAUGUGAGACCUUGCUGUAUGUCUGAAUGUAUAGCUGGCAGAAACGAGACUGGAUUCUAUGAUGGACUUACAGAAGUGUUUGAUUUUGGGCUUUGACCAUUAGCCAAUCAGAACUUUUCCACACCGGAGGCGUGCCAAACCCGCCACUCUUAAAAAGGAUACAUCUAUUACAAUGGAAUCAUCUCUUGAUAAAGUCGGGUCGUAACCUGAUGAAACGCGUAGAGUGUACUUUAGGUUUGAACUAGAGAGGAACAGCGAACAACGGCUUCAGACAGUGAGCCCGUGACGCUGUGUCUACCAAAACAAUUUCCAGUGGCGUCCAAGGUUUUCCCGGCAACAGCUCGAUUGGUUUGCGGACGCAGAGAGGAGCAGGAGAAAGACUAGCCUCUCCAGAGCUCAUACGGAGGACUCACACUAUUGGUGAUUUGUUUGUACCUGCAAUUUAUCUGUUUUAUGUACGUUCUUUUUAUGCACACCCAUAUGUGUUUUAUCUCCAGCUGAUUUUGGAAUAAACGGCUUUUAUGUUCAGAGGUGGUUGCGCUCUGUCUUUUCUGUUUUUUAUGCUAAUGUAAUAUGUGGUGUUAGUACUUUAAUUUAACCACCUAAAAUUAAAGGGUUAUAAAAGUGCAAACAAUAUAUUUUUUUCUAAUGUAUUUAUAAAUGCACUAUUUCCUGUUUUUAAUUAUGUGUUUACAUAUAAAGUCCGUUCCAGAGCAGCAAUGCACUAAUGGAAGCAUGUUUGGUGACCCAAUGGCAAGGGACAUAUGUCUGUAGCCAUCAAUCACCAGCUAGAUCGCAGGAGUGUAUUGCUGCUUCUGAGGCUACCUAGGUAUCAUUUAUUUGUUAGUAUCAUUUAUUUGUAUAGCGCUGCCAAAUUCAACAAAAGAUACAAAGAGAACAAAGUUAAGUUGGUCAUUACUUCAAAUUGAAAAGUCUUUUAAAAUUGCAUGCUCUGUCUGAAAAAUGGAAGUUUAAUUUUGAGUUUCAUGACCCUUUAAGCAGGGAUAUGUUGAUAAUUUUGUCUUAUUUUGGUCUCUGGGAACUGUGUGCUGCAAAAACAAAACAAAAAAACAACAACUUAUUCUUGAUACCAGAGCAAACAGCCAUUGUGUGUUUAUCUUGGAAGUACUGGUAGACGGCCCCAUAUCAAAGAGCAAUAUCUUCUUUUCACUGCAAGCCUGUUAAAGUAUUUAAAAGCAUGACAGAAAGUCAUUUAAACUGUGAGCUCUUGAAACCAACGACAAUGAACUAUUCACAAGACUAAACAAGACUAAAUAAGCCACACGUUCAUUUGCAUUUCCACUGGCCAGAAGACACACUGCCAAUCUAUUAAACCCAGCUGGUAUUGCCAGAAAAUCAACAAGUCAGUUCUAAGCUACAUCUCCCUAUCAAUAUCACACCAGUGAGUAUCAAGGAGUUGCAUAAGGAAGGAGAAUCUGCUUUUAUCUGCAUUUUGGACAUUGAGACACACUGAUUGUCAAAGAGACACUACCUGCAAAAAAAGAGGCUUGAAUGCAUUCUGCAAGACUCAGAACCUGACCAUACAACAUGCUAUGCAGUGAUUACUUCGUGAACAAACUCAUGAAUAUCUGUCCCUAAUUGACCACAGAAAAAAAAUAAAGAUAUGAAAAAUACGCUCAUGGGGCUUUUCAAGAGCUAUUUCCCUGCGCUGUAAAACAAUGCAACUUUUAAUAACUAAAUAACUUUACAUGCAAAUAAAAACGUAUAUUUAUUAUACAUA